CCUACGGGAGGCAGCAGUGGGGAAUAUUGGGCAAUGGGCGCAAGCCUGACCCAGCAACGCCGCGUGAAGGAAGAAGGCCCUCGGGUUGUAAACUUCUUUUAUCAGGGACGAAACAAAUGACGGUACCUGAUGAAUAAGCCACGGCUAACUACGUGCCAGCAGCCGCGGUAAUACGUAGGGGGCAAGCGUUAUCCGGAUUUACUGGGUGUAAAGGGCGUGUAGGCGGGGGAGCAAGUCAGACGUGAAAUGCCAGGGCUCAACCCUGGAACUGCGUUUGAAACUGUUCUUCUUGAGUGAUGGAGAGGCAGGCGGAAUGCCGUGUGUAGCGGUGAAAGGCGUAGAUAUACGGAGGAACACCAGUGGCGAAGGCGGCCUGCUGGACAUUAACUGACGCUGAGGCGCGAAAGCGUGGGGAGCAAACAGGAUUAGAUACCCGAGUAGUC
rnacentral:rRNA from 1 species